rnacentral:rRNA from 1 species
UACGUAGGGGGCAAGCGUUGUCCGGAUUUAUUGGGCGUAAAGAGCGUGUAGGCGGCCAUGUAGGUCCGUUGUGAAAACUCGAGGCUCAACCUCGAGACGCCGAUGGAAACCAUGUGGCUAGAGUCCGGAAGAGGAGAGUGGAAUCCUGGUGUAGCGGUGAAAUGCGCAGAUAUCAGGAAGAACACCCGUGGCUAAGGCGGCUCUCUAGUACGGUACUGACGCUGAGACGCGAAAGCGUGGGGAGCAAACAGG